AGGCAGAGAAGAGAGAGAGUGUGUGUUCUGGCUAGAGGGAGGAGCAUGUGCCAGUUAGAAAGGAGCCUGGAGCUAGAGAUGAACUCUGGGAGAGUUUGAAGAGUCUCUCCAACAGAAGGCAGCAGAAAUGACUUUUGCCAGUUCAAAGCCUACACCUCAAGAGAACUUCUGUACUUCCACUCUCUUAGAACCCUGCCAUUGCUACCAUUGGCACAAGCUCAGACUAGCCUGACGGAGGAUCUGGUAUCAUGCAGAGAACAGCCGGUCUCAGCUGAAGCAGUACUAGGCCAGGCUACCACCAGCCAACUCCUAAACUAACCAGCAGAGCUGCCAAAUGACUACAGAAACAUGAAUGAUGCAUCUGCAACUAUCUGGGAUCAGCAAAACUAUCCAACUAAUUCAUUAGCAAUAAUAAAUGCUUAUUAUAUUAAGCCACAGAUCUGGGGGCUAUUUGUUACACAUCAUUGCUAACUGAUCUAGCAAAAUGCAUGCAGAAGGCCAGCUUGUUUUGACUUUUUGUUGGGUAGCAUAAGAACCACCUUCUGAUUUGAGACAGACAAGAAGCUAAGAUAAUGAGCACCUUGAUGAAUCAAAGAGCAGGUAAGAGACAGCUCCUGCUGUCAUUCCUGAACUGUGAGCGACAUGAGCACCUUCACUCAGGAGAUUUAAGACCAGAAGCUUGUAGAACCAUGAUCCUGGCCUGAUGAAGGCUGAACGGUAUCAAGAGGCCAGCACUGCCAUAGAGAAAACUGAGCUGACACAGUCUUCCUGCCUUAGACCUUGCCUGCCUGUAGACAGUGACUAUGUCUUACUCUCCUCUCUUCUCCCAGCACCUGUAGAGGUGCUUGGCACAUAAGAGAUGCUCAGCAAAUGUGUGUUGACCACCUGCAUCCAUACUGUACCUUCUCUUUGGAGAAGCUGAGGGGACAGGAAAGAUAGAAGCAUCAUCAUGGACCAAAUCUCCUCUCGGUCCUUCCUGGUGAGAAGGCUCCUCCUGCAGUGCUUCAGUGUCACCUUGACUAUCUGGAGAAGCAAACAAAGGAAGAAAAUCCUGUGAAAUUGACAUGUGGUGGCAAUCGAGCCUCUACCUUAUGCCAGCCCUGUGGCAGGCACCAUAAGUGGUACAAAGAGACUAGAAGACAGACUCUGCCAGCAUAAAACUUAACAUCUUAUUGGCAGAAAUGCCAGAUACAUCCUUCAUUUUUCUAAAACUUAUGUAUCUUCUGUUUCCAAAAAAGAACAGAUUUAUGUGGAUGGGACUGUGAAAAGAAAAAUCGGAUUGUGAAUCUAAAGUGUAAACUAAAAAUAAAAUCCUAAGCAACCCCCUCCCCCACCCAAGGGGACCCCAGAAAAAUCUUAAAAACUGAGUUUCUGGCUGGGCACGGUGGCUCACACCUGUAAUCCGAGCACUUUGGGAAGCUGAGGCAAGUGGAUCACCUGAGGACAGGAGUUUGAGACCAGCCUGGCCAACAUGGUGAAACCCCCUCUCUACUAAAAAUACAAAAAUUAGCCGGGCAUGGUGGCAGACACCUGUAAUUCCAGCUACUUGGGAGGCUAAGGCAGGAGCAACGCUUGAACCCAGCGGGACAGAUGUUGCAGCUAAGCUGAGAUCGCGCCACUUCACUCUAGCCUGGGCAAAAGAGUGAAACUCCAUCUCAAAAAUCAAAAAAUAAAAAACAGAAAUAAAACCCUAGGUUUUUGUCAAUGAUGAGACAGGAGGUCAGGCAUACCUCAUUAUACUUCCUUUUUGUGGUUUAGACACAACAACUGACCAGCAUUAAAAUAGAGAUCAUAAGACUGACAGAAUGGACCCUGUGGCAAUAAGAUACCAAAUUACAAACAGGACCUAAAGUCAUGACAGGCAAAGCUUAAGUCAUGCACUCCUAUACUUAAAAAUAAAACUGUGUUCUAACUGCCACAGGUUUUUCUUUUUCUCUAGCAGCUGCACAAGCACCAGCCUCAAGAUAAGCAAUAAACGAUUUACUGCUUGCCCACCACUGACAGACACUGAAUAACUGACUCCCAGCCCCUGUUCUACAAGCUAUAACUACAGCUUUAAUUAGACAAGAGACUGACUUCAGUGACUUUCUCCUGAUAAAAAGACCACAGACAGGCUGGGCACAGUGGUUCAUGCCUGUAAUCCCAGCACUUUGGAAGGCUGAGGCAGGCAGAUCAUGAGGUCAAGAUAUCGAGACCAUCCUGGCUAACGUGGUGAAACCCCAUCUCUACUAAAAAUACAAAAAGUUAGCUGGGCGUGGUGGUGGGCACCUGUAGUCCCAGCUGCUCGGGAGGCUGAGGCAGAAGAAUCGCUUGAACCCAGUAGGUGGAGAUUGCAGUGAGCCGACAUUGUGCCACUGCCCUCCAGCCUAGGGAGACAGAGCGAGACUCCAAGACUCCAUCUCAAAAAAAAAAAAAAAAAAGAAAACAAACAAACAAAAAACACAGACCAUAGACUCGUUCUGGCUGUUUAAAGAGUCUGCACACUUGAGUGCUUUUGUUUCUUAAAAAGAUCUUUUUACAUAUAGGGCCUAAUUCUAAUACAUUUAAAAAUCAAGUCUCCACCCCAAGGUAAAUUUGGGUCAUAUAUAACAUGCACGUGUGUUCAGUACACAUGCAUCAAGACCACCUUCUUGAAUAUUCAUAGCUCCUCCUGUAACCUGUAAUUACAUAUAUCUGGCUAACCAUUUCAGUUUGAAUUCCUGUCUUACUCUUCCCUUUCUGGAAGUGUCUGUCUCUGCGCUCUGUGGGAGGCUAUGCUUCCCAGACCAUCAAAAUGGGCACCUGGCAGGCUGUAACCCUUCAUAAAAAAUAAAGUCUAC
rnacentral:lncRNA from 1 species